GCACAAUCCUUGUCGAGGAGCCUCCUGUCCUUGUGGCAGGAGCCCUCAAGACCCGAGAGCAGGACUUGCUGUCCGGCAGUCUUGCCAGGACUUGAGUCUUGCAGGUGCCUUCCAGGCACGACUACAGGAUUUGCUACCUCAGAGCUUUUCUGAGGCAUAUCUCUUGCAAGAACCAGUAAAUCCAGGCAUUGCCAUGGACCAGCGACCCCCAAGAGUUCCCAAGCUGGCCUGGGUGAAGGAGAAGGAGGAGGAAGAAGAAGGCCCUGGAGCUGUGCCGGCACAGGAGACGGAAGAGGUGCAGGAGUUCCAGGCGCUGGAGGAGGGAUGGGAGAGUGUUGGAGAAGAUCUGGAGCAGCGACCCCCGAGAGUGCCCAAGCUGGCCUGGGUGGAGGAGGAGGAGGAGGAAGAGGAAGAAGGCUCUGGAGCUGCCCCAGCACCAGAGACGGAAGUGGUGCAGCCGUUCCAGCCGCUGGAGGAGGGUGAGUGGCAGAGCUGGGCUAUGGGGCUGGUGCCUGCUAGUGCCCAUCUUGGCCCUAUCCCUACCCAUUGCAUCCCACUGCAUCCCAUCUCAUCCCAUCCCACCCUAUCCUGUGGAGACACACACAGGGACAGGACAGAAGAGGGGCUGGGGCUUGCCCACAAGCAGUGGCUGUGCUCAGUUCCCUGGGGCUGUCCCUUCCUGGGGAUCACAGGGCUGGGCAGCGUUCUCCAGCCGCUCCUGCAGCCCCUCAGCUCUGGCUGCUCUUGCUCUUUGCCAGAUGCAGCCACAGACCAGACACAAGAGCAGGACCUUGCCGGUGGCCUCUUCCGCAGAACAGCGCAGCUGGUUUGCAACUUCAUCAGGAGAAUUCGGGAGGAAGGGACCAGCGCCAUGGCGGCUGGGGUCAGACCAUAUUCAUACAUCUUCAACACCAAGGCCACCGCUGCCCUGCUGGAUAUGCUUGUAGAGGAGGGUUUUUACAGUCAGAAGCAAGUGCCUGCCAUGGUGAGGUACAUCCACCAGUGGCUCAUGGCCAAUCAGUUCUCUGAGCACAGGCUGAACAGGACCCUGCUGGAUCUGACCGAGGCACAGCCCACUGACGUGGUCAUUGCUCUCCUGCGUGUGGCCCCAACGUAUGACAGGUACGGGGCCCACGUGCCCAGAGGGCUCAGGGCUCCCCAGCCCAUCACCCUG
rnacentral:lncRNA from 1 species